rnacentral:lncRNA from 1 species
AUAAAUAGUAAGUUUAUAUGAUUAAUAAAAUUAUACAAUUAUUUUAUGCAUAGUGAAGGUAAUCUCACCACUCUAUCUGAAGAGGUGACAAAAUUUACAAAUAUAACUAUCAGCUUCAUAUUACCAAACAGAAAAAAUGUAAUUGUAGUAGCUAUAACUGUAUAAAACCAAACAGACUAGGUAUAGUUACAACUACAGCAUUUGUAACUGCAUAUAUUUUCAACUACACUGUUUCUGCAACUACAUCCAACCAAACGGCUCCUUAGUAAUAAAAAUAAAAACGCUUUUGUUUCUUUUAUCCCUUUCUGUUCUUGUUU